AUUGAACGCUGGCGGCAUGCUUUACACAUGCAAGUCGAACGGUAACAGGCCGCAAGGUGCUGACGAGUGGCGAACGGGUGAGUAAUGCAUCGGAACGUGCCCAGUCGUGGGGGAUAACUAUCCGAAAGGAUAGCUAAUACCGCAUACGAUCUGCGGAUGAAAGCGGGGGACCUUCGGGCCUCGCGCGAUUGGAGCGGCCGAUGUCAGAUUAGGUAGUUGGUGGGGUAAAGGCUCACCAAGCCAACGAUAUGUAGCUGGUCUGAGAGGACGACCAGCCACACUGGGACUGAGACACGGCCCAGACUCCUACGGGAGGCAGCAGUGGGGAAUUUUGGACAAUGGGCGCAAGCCUGAUCCAGCAAUGCCGCGUGCAGGAAGAAGGCCUUCGGGUUGUAAACUGCUUUUGUACGGAACAAAACGGCUCUGGUUAAUACCUGGGGCUAAUGACGGUACCGUAAGAAUAAGCACCGGCUAACUACGUGCCAGCCGCCGCAGUAA
rnacentral:rRNA from 1 species